rnacentral:rRNA from 1 species
UACGAAGGAUGCAAGCGUUAUCCGGAUUUAUUGGUUUAAAGGGUGCGUAGGCGGACUUAUAAGUCAGUGGUGAAAUCUCGAUGCUUAACAUCGAACGUGCCAUUGAUACUGUAGGUCUUGAGUACAGAUGCCGUUGGCGGAAUGUGUCAUGUAGCGGUGAAAUGCAUAGAUAUGACACAGAACACCGAUUGCGAAGGCAGCUGACGAAACUGUAACUGACGCUGAGGCACGAAAGCGUGGUGAUCAAACAGG